rnacentral:rRNA from 1 species
GAUGAACGCUGGCGGCGUGCCUAAUACAUGCAAGUCGAGCGAACGGACGAGAAGCUUGCUUUUCUGAUGUUAGCGGCGGACGGGUGAGUAACACGUGGAUAACCUACCUAUAAGACUGGGAUAACUUCGGGAAACCGGAGCUAAUACCGGAUAAUAUUUUGAACCGCAUGGUUCAAAAGUGAAAGACGGUCUUGCUGUCACUUAUAGAUGGAUCCGCGCUGCAUUAGCUAGUUGGUAAGGUAACGGCUUACCAAGGCAACGAUGCAUAGCCGACCUGAGAGGGGGGACAGCCAAACUGGGAAUGGGACACGGUCCAGAAUCCUACGGGAAGGAAGAGUAGGGGAAUUUCCCGAAAGGGCCAAAACCUGGAGGGACAACGCCGGGUGGAGGGAGGAAGGUUUCGGGUCGGUAAACUCUUUUUAUUAGGGAAGAAAAUUGGGUAAGGUAAUUGUCAACACUUGACGGUACCUAAUCAGAAAGCCACGGCUAACUACGUG